AAGUGUGAGGCAGUGAACAGAGUAGGUUCAAUAGCUCAAGGCCUGGCCCUGCAGGUUCGAUGGCCAUUUUGUGACAGACUCCUACCGCCGUGUAACAACAAAGAAGCUUACUUCGCAAGUGGGACAAAACUGGUCGUUUCAGAACACGGGGUUCGAAAGCCAAAAGUCGAUCUCUUCCAUCCUUCGGCCGCUGAGAUUAGAGAGAAAAAGAAAGCGACAGUGGUUUGCCUGGUCAGCAACUUCUACCCUGACAACAUUCAGAUCUCCUGGUUGGUCGAUGAUCAGAAGCAUGCCAAUGGCCCAAAUGUUCACACCGACCCCAACUCCAUCGCAACGGCGAACAAGACAUCCUACAGCAUCAGCAGCCGCCUGAGACUGGAGGACCAGCAAUGGGCCCAGUCUAAGAGGGUUGAGUGCCAAGUGUCUCACUACGCCAACGGAAUCACGGCUGAGACACAAAAUGUAACGUUAGCCAUCAAAGCCGAAAUCUGCGGUAUUACUGAAGAAUCGAAAAUUCAAAGCAUGGGGGCAGCAAAGUUGACAUACCUUAUUGUGCUCUGCAAAAGCAUAUUGUAUGCUAUAUUCGUGUCAACGUGUGUCUGGAAAACUAAGACGUCCUACGGCAAGAGGUUCGACUGACCAGCGACUAUUAAUGAACUCAAUGACAUGGCAAAAGGUGCAACACAUGAGAAAGGGUGGAGAGUGAGAACAAGCACAUUGUGAAAACCUAGGGAACGAUUUUCGCCCUUUGAAUUCCUUCGGCGCUGUAGUGUCGGUGGAUGGUCCUAAAGCUCUUUCGACCCCACGGAGAAUAGCGAAGAGAAUUUAUAGCCUACUCUGUCUUUUCCACUGGAAUAAGCCAUUUCCUGUUCUCCACAUUUCUUUAUGCUCUUAUCUAAAUCGGUUAUAGCUUUGAGGGUUGCGCAACUUUUCUUUGGCUAUUGCAUUGAUUCCCAAUUUGUAGACGGGAUUCUUUGAAGAUGUAAAUAUAAUCAAAAAAAAAAAUCUUGCAACGCGACUGGAGCCCAAGGUGCAUGUGCUGCCACAUCAUUCUUGUCUGCUCAUUCCUCAGUCUAUCUUCUGAGUCCCUCAUCUCGGGUUCCUUUCUAAUAAGGCUGUGCUUAGUCUGAAGAAGCAGCGAGUUGGGAGGGAUUGAAAUGUUAUUUUGCUCAACCAGUAACCUUGUAUUUCCCCGUUUCUAGUAAUGCACACAUGUUAUUGCUGGUUUCAGAAUGCUCCUCACCAAUAGCGCAGGGCUCAGAAUCGGCCAGACUUUGCUGGACCGCUCUCACUAGCUCGGGUAUUGACAGCUCGCUUGGGUUUUGAAGCUUUUAUUUUUUUUUUGCUCGUUGUUUAAGAAAUAAAGAGAAUAUUUUUUGUGAAGGAAA